ACCACAGCCCAGACCGUAAAUGGUGCCGACACGCCAAUUGCAUGACUAGAUCCAGGUCCGUGAGGUGACGGGAGACGACAAAAUCCAGACACGCCGGCCACUAGGUGGCGCUAUACCAAGGGAAAACGCGUUUGGGGCUAUAACUCCCACACCGAACCUCCCACAUUCAAAACCUUGAACACACAGAUUCACUGGAGUCUGAUGCAUCUUUUGGCAUAGGCCACGCCCAUUUGCGUCCAUAAUUUUUUUUUCGCAAAAUCGCGAAAACCGCAAAACUGUUUUUUCCCUACUCCGCCCACAUUUCUUGACCAAUCGACACCAAACUUUGC
ensembl:lncRNA